rnacentral:rRNA from 1 species
AGAGUUUGAUCCUGGCUCAGGAUGAACGCUAGCUACAGGCUUAACACAUGCAAGUCGAGGGGCAGCAUGGUCUUAGCUUGCUAAGGCCGAUGGCGACCGGCGCACGGGUGAGUAACGCGUAUCCAACCUGCCUUACACUCUUGGACAGCCUUCUGAAAGGGAGAUUAAUACAAGAUGUUAUCAUGAGUAAGCAUUUUCACAUGAUUAAAGGUUUACCGGUGUAAGAUGGGGAUGCGUUCCAUUAGAUAGUAGGCGGGGUAACGGCCCACCUAGUCUUCGAUGGAUAGGGGUUCUGAGAGGAAGGUCCCCCACAUUGGAACUGAGACACGGUCCAAACUCCUACGGGAGGCAGCAGUGAGGAAUAUUGGUCAAUGGACGAGAGUCUGAACCAGCCAAGUAGCGUGAAGGAUGAAGGUUCUAUGGAUUGUAAACUUCUUUUAUACGGGAAUAAACGAAUCCACGUGUGGAUUUUUGCAUGUACCGUAUGAAUAAGGAUCGGCUAACUCCGUGCCAGCAGCCGCGGUAAUACGGAGGAUCCGAGCGUUAUCCGGAUUUAUUGGGUUUAAAGGGAGCGUAGAUGGGUUGUUAAGUCAGUUGUGAAAGUUUGCGGCUCAACCGUAAAAUUGCAAUUGAUACUGGCAGUCUUGAGUACAGUUGAGGUAGGCGGAAUUCGUGGUGUAGCGGUGAAAUGCUUAGAUAUCACGAAGAACUCCGAUUGCGAAGGCAGCUUACUAACCUGUAACUGACAUUGAUGCUCGAAAGUGUGGGUAUCAAACAGGAUUAGAUACCCUGGUAGUCCACACGGUAAACGAUGAAUACUCGCUGUAGGCGAUAUACAGUCUGCGGCCAAGCGAAAGCAUUAAGUAUUCCACCUGGGGAGUACGCCGGCAACGGUGAAACUCAAAGGAAUUGACGGGGGCCCGCACAAGCGGAGGAACAUGUGGUUUAAUUCGAUGAUACGCGAGGAACCUUACCUGGGCUUAAAUUGCAACCGAAUAUGGCGGAAACGCUAUAGCUAGCAAUAGCGGUUGUGAAGGUGCUGCAUGGUUGUCGUCAGCUCGUGCCGUGAGGUGUCGGCUUAAGUGCCAUAACGAGCGCAACCCUUGCCGAUAGUUACUAACAGGUUAUGCUGAGGACUCUGUCGGGACUGCCAUCGUAAGAUGUGAGGAAGGUGGGGAUGACGUCAAAUCAGCACGGCCCUUACGUCCGGGGCUAUACACGUGUUACAAUGGGGGGUACAGAGGGCUGCUACCACGCAAGUGGAUGCCAAUCCCAAAAACCUCUCUCAGUUCGGAUUGAAGUCUGCAACCCGACUUCAUGAAGCUGGAUUCGCUAGUAAUCGCGCAUCAGCCACGGCGCGGUGAAUACGUUCCCGGGCCUUGUACACACCGCCCGUCAAGCCAUGGGAGCCGGGGGUACCUGAAGUGCGUAACCGCAAGGAGCGCCCUAGGGUAAAACUGGUGACUGGGGCUAAGUCGUAACAAGGUAGCCG